GACGAACGCUGGCGGCGUGCCUAAUACAUGCAAGUCGAGCGGACCGGAUUGGGGCUUGCCUUGAUUCGGUCAGCGGCGGACGGGUGAGUAACACGUGGGCAACCUGCCCGCAAGACCGGGAUAACUCCGGGAAACCGGAGCUAAUACCGGAUAACACCGAAGACCGCAUGGUCUUCGGUUGAAAGGCGGCCUUUGGGCUGUCACUUGCGGAUGGGCCCGCGGCGCAUUAGCUAGUUGGUGAGGUAACGGCUCACCAAGGCGACGAUGCGUAGCCGGCCUGAGGGGGUGACCGGCCACACUGGGACUGAGACACGGCCCAGACUCCUACGGGAGGCAGCAGUAGGGAAUCUUCCGCAAGGGGCGAAAGCCUGACGGAGCGACGCCGCGUGAGCGAAGAAGGCCUUCGGGUCGUAAAGCUCUGUUGUGAGGGACGAAGGAGCGUCGUUCGAAGAGGGCGGCGCGGUGACGGUACCUCACGAGAAAGCCCCGGCUAACUACGUG
rnacentral:rRNA from 1 species